CAAGGAGGACCGGGUGAAUGCGCGCAGGCUGGGAAGGAAUCCCCAGGACUACCCAGCAGACCCGCAGGCUACCGGAGCGAACCCCCAGAACCCCACAACACGCAGGGGCAGAGGAAACUCUGCCUCCAAAGAGCGAUCGGGACCCAGAGACCUGCAUGUGACCCCCGGGAAAGACCGAGAGGCGGAGCGAGCCGGGACAAGUACGGCCACUUAGGUCCCGCGAGUGACCGGAGACUGGCGAGGAGGGCGGGCGUACCCAACACUUCUACGCGGAACUACAGCAGGGGCAGGGGAAAACCCUGCCUUGUGUUUUCAGCAGAGGACAACUCUACUGCAGAGAGGGACACUGCGCUAUCUUCGGCUGCCACGCUGCCAGUCUCACUAUGCGAGAGACACUACAGCAAACCAUUAGACGGCGGAAGAUGGCCUUAAACUGGCAUGCAGAUGGAUUGAUGUUCCAGCCGCCAUACAUGGAAAGGACACAAUACAGAAUUACACCCAAGAAGACAAUACAACAAGAACCUCCAAGAAAGCACUGUAUAAUGUUCAUUCAAAACAGCCCAUCCAUCGGUAAUGUAUAAUCAACAAUUCUUGAGUGCCUUCUACAGGGAUGCAAACUUACAGAGAAUGAGAAUUGUAAACAGCUAUUAGGGCAGAUAGAUAAUUAGUUUGCAUCCAUGUUCUUAGAAACGGGAUCAGUUUGUUGUUUAACUUGCACAGUGUACUUUUUGGACACAUAACUAACUUAGAGGAAUGUCAUUGCAGAAAUGUGAGAACAGGAGACCAUGAGACUAUGAGAACACAUUAAAUGCAUACCAUUUUGACAACUACAUGUAGUUGAUAAUGUUGUGUAAUACGGACCAUUUAAAAACAUGCAUAACCUGAAACACUCGUCAGUCAAUCAAAAUUUAUAUCUAUAAGGGCUCGAAAGGCUUUACAAACUCACAAAAUCUGAUCUGAUUUGGGGCGGUAUAGCUCGGUUGGUAGAGUGGCCGUGCCAGCAACUUGAGGGUUCCAGGUUCGAUCCCCGCUUCCGCCAUCCUAGUCACUG